rnacentral:rRNA from 1 species
AUGGAGGACAAGACGGUGAUACUGACCUUUGUCAACGAGGCGCUAACGCUGCCCGGGUCGCUGCUGGAGCUCUUCCUGGAGAGCUUCCGGCUGGGCGUGCGGACGCAGCCCCUGCUGAAGCACCUGGUGAUCGUGCCAGCACAUGCACCCGCUCUGCUACCCGCUCGGCGGUGGCGCGCCUGCGCCUGGAGGAACGACGACGGCGGGGGAGGUGACGUUCAUGAGCAAGGAUUACGUGGAGCUGAUGUGGGCGCGGAACCGGUUCCAGGCGCGGGUGCUGGGGCUGGGCUUCGGCUUCGUGUUCACGGACGUGGACAUCGUGUGGUUCCGGAACCCGCUGCUACGGUUCCCACGUGGGCGCCGACAUCGCCCUGGCGUGUGACCAGUUCUUGGGUGACAACCCCUAUGACCUCGACAAGGCGGCCAACGGCGGGUUUGUGUACGCGAGGCCUAACGAACGGACACUGGCCUUCUUCCAGGACUGGUACGAUGCGAGGAACCGGUACCCCGGGGAGGUGA